CAUUAUUUGCGCACGACCAAAGAAAAUAAGAGAGAAAAGGAGAUAUUGGAUUUGGUGAAGGAUACUGAUUUUUUAGUACUUGCCAGGUAUAUGCAGAUAUUCUCUAGUAACUUUUUGCGUGGCUAUGGGAAAGAUAUAAUUAACAUUCACCAUGGCCUUUUGCCAUCAUUUAGGGGUGGCCAUCCAUCUAAGCAGGCUUUUGAUGCAGGUGUGAAAUUAAUUGGUGCAACUAGUCACUUCGUGACUGAAGAACUUGAUGCGGGG
rnacentral:misc_RNA from 1 species